rnacentral:misc_RNA from 1 species
ACACCUCAACUCCUCACGGUUUGCCGUGAUGAGCUUGGACUUGGGGGUUUUGCCGGCAUGCAGCCGGCUCCUCUCAAAUGAAUCAGCUUUCCAGUGUUUGGUGGCAUCACGGGUGUGAUAACUAUCUACGCUUGCGGUUGUCUGCCAGGUAACCUUCAGUGAUGGGGGUUCGCUGGAGCUUAUAAACGUCUCUCCUCAGCGAAGACAGCUUUUGAAC